GAGUUUGAUCAUGGCUCAGAACGAACGCUGGCGGCAGGCCUAACACAUGCAAGUCGAGCGAGACCUUCGGGUCUAGCGGCGGACGGGUUAGUAACGCGUGGGAACGUGCCCUUCUCUGCGGAAUAGCCACUGGAAACGGUGAGUAAUACCGCAUACGCCCUUCGGGGGAAAGAUUUAUCGGAGAAGGAUCGGCCCGCGUUAGAUUAGAUAGUUGGUGGGGUAACGGCCUACCAAGUCUACGAUCUAUAGCUGGUUUUAGAGGAUGAUCAGCAACACUGGGACUGAGACACGGCCCAGACUCCUACGGGAGGCAGCAGUGGGGAAUCUUAGACAAUGGGCGCAAGCCUGAUCUAGCCAUGCCGCGUGUGUGAUGAAGGUCUUAGGAUCGUAAAGCACUUUCGCCAGGGAUGAUAAUGACAGUACCUGGUAAAGAAACCCCGGCUAACUCCGUGCCAGCAGCCGCGGUAAUACGGAGGGGGUUAGCGUUGUUCGGAAUUACUGGGCGUAAAGCGCGCGUAGGCGGAUUGGAAAGUUGGGGGUGAAAUCCCGGGGCUCAACCCCGGAACUGCCUCCAAAACUAUCAGUCUAGAGUUCGAGAGA
rnacentral:rRNA from 1 species